rnacentral:lncRNA from 1 species
CUCACCUGGUUGAUGUCAUGUUCCUGAACUUUUGUGAGUGCAAGAGAAGAGAAGAAUAACAGUAUGAGGUGGGCCAUGGCCCAAGAGGUGUCCAGCAGGAAGUGGUGGCGGGGAAGAGAAUUGGAAACACCUCCUGUGCCUAGAGCCUCUGGUGGAUUCUGGGGAAGGAAGAGGAUGAGGUGUGCCUCACGCAGAUCUCUGGAGAAACGUUUAGGAGCUGAACGUGGUGGCAGCCUGGUGUGGACUAAACAGAGUCAGUUAGAAAAGUGUUCUGAUGCAUCCACAGCUUUCAAGGCCUCAGCUUGCAUAAUUACAAGGGGCAGGAACUAAAAUUUCAUCUGUGCGACAUCAGCUCAAAAGGAGCCGGGACUAGAAGAAACCAGGAGCUAUGAUUUGCACUUUGAUAACUUAAGUGAAAUAAAUUGAUGGUUCCAAAUGGAAAAA